rnacentral:rRNA from 1 species
ACGCGCAAAACCUUACCAGGGCUUGACAUAUAUAUGAGGGGCCAUAGAGAUAUGAAACCGGUAAGAGCUUGCUCUUAACAUAUAUACAGGUGGUGCAUGGUUGUCGUCAGCUCGUGUCGUGAGAUGUUGGGUUAAGUCCCCGCAACGAGCGCAACCCCUUGCAAUUAGUUACUAACAGAUCAUGCUGAGGACUCUAAUUGGACUGCCGAUGAUAAAUCGGAGGAAGGUGGGAUGACGUCAAAUCAUCAUG